UCUCAGUGAUGAUUCAAACGAUGACGAGUCCGAUAUCCAUUCUUAACAAUACUGACGACAAUCGAGGCAUUUGUCUGAGAGGA